rnacentral:rRNA from 1 species
CGCUGGCGGCGUGCCUAAUACAUGCAAGUCGAGCGAACGGACGAGAAGCUUGCUUCUCUGAUGUUAGCGGCGGACGGGUGAGUAACACGUGGAUAACCUACCUAUAAGACUGGGAUAACUUCGGGAAACCGGAGCUAAUACCGGAUAAUAUUUUGAACCGCAUGGUUCAAAAGUGAAAGACGGUCCUGCUGUCACUUAUAGAUGGAUCCGCGCUGCAUUAGCUAGUUGGUAAGGUAACGGCUUACCAAGGCAACGAUGCAUAGCCGACCUGAGAGGGUGAUCGGCCACACUGGAACUGAGACACGGUCCAGACUCCUACGGGAGGCAGCAGUAGGGAAUCUUCCGCAAUGGGCGAAAGCCUGACGGAGCAACGCCGCGUGAGUGAUGAAGGUCUUCGGAUCGUAAAACUCUGUUAUUAGGGAAGAACAUAUGUGUAAGUAACUGUGCACAUCUUGACGGUACCUAAUCAGAAAGCCACGGCUAACUACGUGCCAGCAGCCGCGGUAAUACGUAGGUGGCAAGCGUUAUCCGGAAUUAUUGGGCGUAAAGCGCGCGUAGGCGGUUUUUUAAGUCUGAUGUGAAAGCCCACGGCUCAACCGUGGAGGGUCAUUGGAAACUGGAAAACUUGAGUGCAGAAGAGGAAAGUGGAAUUCCAUGUGUAGCGGUGAAAUGCGCAGAGAUAUGGAGGAACACCAGAGGCGAAGGCGACUUUCUGGUCUGUAACUGACGCUGAUGUGCGAAGGCGU